rnacentral:rRNA from 1 species
UGGGGAAUUUUGGACAAUGGGCGCAAGCCUGAUCCAGCCAUGCCGCGUGUGUGAAGAAGGCCUUCGGGUUGUAAAGCACUUUCGGACGGAACGAAAUCGCGCGCAUGAAUAAUGCGCGUGGAUGACGGUACCGUAAGAAGAAGCACCGGCUAACUACGUGCCAGCAGCCGCGGUAAUACGUAGGGUGCGAGCGUUAAUCGGAAUUACUGGGCGUAAAGUGUGCGCAGGUGGCUGAGCAAGUCGAGUGUGAAAUCCCCGGGCUUAACUUGGGAAUUGCGCUCGAAACUACUUGGCUCGAGUGUGGCAGAGGAAGGUGGAAUUCCAGGUGUAGCGGUGAAAUGCGUAGAGAUCUGGAGGAACACCGAUGGCGAAGGCAGCCUUCUGGGCCAACACUGACGCUCAUGCACGAAAGCGUGGGGAGCAAACAGGAUUAGAUACCCUGGUAGUCCACGCCUAAACGAUGAUGACUAGUUGUUGGGGGUAAG